rnacentral:rRNA from 1 species
CAGUAGCCGCGGUAAUACGAAGGGGGCUAGCGUUGCUCGGAAUCACUGGGCGUAAAGGGUGCGUAGGCGGGUUUUUAAGUCAGAGGUGAAAUCCUGGAGCUCAACUCCAGAACUGCCUUUGAUACUGGGAAUCUUGAGUAUGGAAGAGGUGAGUGGAACUGCGAGUGUAGAGGUGAAAUUCGUAGAUAUUCGCAAGAACACCAGUGGCGAAGGCGGCUCACUGGUCCAUAACUGACGCUGAGGCACGAAAGCGUGGGGAGCAAACAGGAUUAGAUACCCCGGUAGUCCCUGUCUCUUAUAC